rnacentral:rRNA from 1 species
GUGGGGAAUAUUGGACAAUGGGCGAAAGCCUGAUCCAGCCAUGCCGCGUGUGUGAAGAAGGUCUUCGGAUUGUAAAGCACUUUAAGUUGGGAGGAAGGGCAGUAAGUUAAUACCUUGCUGUUUUGACGUUACCAACAGAAUAAGCACCGGCUAACUUCGUGCCAGCAGCCGCGGUAAUACGAAGGGUGCAAGCGUUAAUCGGAAUUACUGGGCGUAAAGCGCGCGUAGGUGGUUCAGCAAGUUGAAGGUGAAAUCCCCGGGCUCAACCUGGGAACUGCCUCCAAAACUACUGAGCUAGAGUACGGUAGAGGGUAGUGGAAUUUCCGGUGUAGCGGUGAAAUGCGUAGAUAUAGGAAGGAACACCAGUGGCGAAGGCGACUACCUGGACUGAUACUGACACUGAGGUGCGAAAGCGUGGGGAGCAAACAGGAUUAGAUACCCGAGUAGUCC